rnacentral:rRNA from 1 species
GCAAGUCGAACGGAAAGGCCCUGCUUUUGUGGGGUGCUCGAGUGGCGAACGGGUGUGUAACACGUGAGUAACCUGCCCUUGACUUUGGGAUAACUUCAGGAAACUGGGGCUAAUACCGGAUAGGAGCACCUGCUGAAUGGUGGGGGUUGGAAAGUUUCGGCGGUUGGGGAUGGACUCGCGGCGUAGCAGCGUGUUGGUGGGGUAGUGGCUUACCAAGGCUUUGACGGGUAGCCGGCCUGAGAGGGUGAGC